CUACCCUUAGCUCAGUUGGUUAGAGCAGACGGCUCAUAACCGUCCGGUCGUAGGUUCGAGUCCUACAGGGUACA
rnacentral:tRNA from 2 species